AAGGUUUGUGAAUAAUUUUUGUGAUAUCCACUACCACAGAUAAGUAAAAAUGCCCUCACAUUCAAAGGGUUGGCCACCACUGAUUUAAGGUAUCUACUCACCUUCUAGAUUUCUUAAAUGCACUGUCAUCAACCAGCUUAGAACAUUGCUAAGUGUAUAGUAAGCUCUCAAUUAUUACCUUAUUUCUUAAUAACUAUUAUCUUUUAAUUUUGUCUUAUUUAGUAGGAAGCCUACUGAAGUUCUGUUGAGAUCUAUCUAUAUAUAAAAAUGUGUGUCUCACACACAUACACAUACCUAUAUAAGUUAUAUAUGUGUAUAAUAAAUUCUUACUUAACUUUGCUGAUAGGUUCUUGGAAACAGUAAGUGAAGCAACAUAUUAAGUAAACUAAUUUUUACCAGAAUUUAAUACAAGAGUUAUGUUUGCAUGACAUAUAGCAACAAUGUUCAUUUAAAGAUGCACUUUUCAUGAACCUAUUUUGAACAUAAAGUGAGGACUUACUGUACAUACAUGUGCAACCUGGAUUUUUCUGAUAAAUAAAAAUUGUAUAAUGUGUACAGUAUAAUGAUUUGAUAUGUAUAUACAUUGUAAAAUAAAAUAUAGUCAAGUUAGUGAACACAUCUAUUACCUCAGGUAGAUAACCAGUUUUUUUGUAGUAAGAACACUUAAGGUCUACUGUUGUAGCAAAUUGUAAGCAUACAUUACAGUAUUACUAACUAUAAAUAAUGCUAUUUUGCUGAUCUAAUGCUGAAUGUACUUUAGAUUUUUCAGAGUUACUCAAGUUACAACUAAAAAUUUGUACUCUUUGAACAACAUUUCCGUAUUUUCCACCCUCAGGCACUAACAAUCACCAUCAAUCAAUGUUAAAGUUUUUUUGUUUUGUUUUGUUUUGUUUUGUUUUUGAGAUGGAGUCUCGCUGUCACCCAGGCUGGAGUGCAGUGGCGCGAUAUCUACUCACUGCAAGGUCUGCCUCCCGGGUUCACACCAUUCUCCUGCCUCAGCCUCCCAAGUAGCUGGGACUACAGGUGCCCGCCACCACGCCCGGCUAAUUUUUUGUAUUUUUAGUAGAGAUGGGGUUUCACCAUGUUAGCCAGGAUGGUCUCUAUCUGACCUCGUGAUCUGCCCACCUCGGCCUCCCAAAGUGCUGGGGAUUACAGGCGUGAGCCACCGUGCCCAGCCAAUCAGUGUUAAAGUUGUUUAAGGUUACACUUAAGUUUCAAAAUUGUGUUUUCUAUUACUGUGAAAAAUGACACUAAAAUUUUCACUUUGAAUAUAUAGAUCACUUAUGAUAAUACGGUACUUUGACAGUAUUAGUUAUUCUAAUGGAAUAUUUUUCCAUUUAUUUGUGUCUACUGAAAUUUCUGUCAUUAACAUCUUAUUGUAUUUAGUGUAUACAUAUUUAAUCUCAUCGGUUAAAUUUACUAUGAUUAAAUUUUUUAUUUUUAAAUUGUUGCAAAUGAAAAUUGUUUCUUUUUUGUUUGUUUGUUUUUGGAAAGUUUGUUGUUACUAUUUGGAAAUGCAACACAUAUUUUUAUGUUGGGCCAGUUCCAGUGACUCAUUUCUGUAAUCCCAGCACUUUCAGAGGCCAAGGCUGAUAGAUCACUUGAGCAUAGGAGUUUAAGAUGAACCUGGGCAACAGAGUAUUAACUCUGAAAAUCUGAGACAGGUCUCAGUUAAUGUAGAAAGUUUAUUUUGCUGGCCAGGCACAGUGGCUCACGACCGUAAUCCCAGUACUUUGGGAGGCUAAGGUGGGUGGAUCACAAGGUCAAGAGAUCAAGACCAUCCUGGCCAACGUGGUGAAACCCCAUCUCUACUAAAAAUACAAAAAUUAGCUGGGCGUGGUGGCACGCGCCUGUAGUCCCAGCUACUAGGGAGGCUGAGGCAGGAGAAUCACUUGAACCCAGGAGGUGGAAAUUACAGUGAGCUGAGAUUGCACCACUACUCCAGCCUGGAGACAGAGUGAGACUCUUGUCUUAAAAAAAAAAAAAAAAAAGUUUAUUUUGUCAAGGUUUAGGACACGUGCCCCUGACACAGCCUUAGGAAGUCUUGAUGACGUGUGCCCAAGGUGGUUUGGGCACAGCUUGGUUUUAUACAUUUUAAGGAGACAUGAGACAUAAAUCAAUAUGUGUAAGAUGUACAUUGGUUCCAUCUUGAAAGGCAGGACAGCUUAAGCAGGGAUAGUGUUUCUAGGUCACAGGUACAUGAGAGACAAACUGCUGCAUUCUUUUGAGUUUCUGAUUUGUCUGUCCAAAGGAGGCAAUCAGAUGUCCCUUUAUCUCAGUGAGCAGAGGGAUGACUUUGAAUAGAAUGGGAGGCAGGUUUGCCCUAGGCAGUACCCAGCUUGACGGUUUAGCUUAGUGAUUUUGGGGGCCCCAAGAGUUCCAAGAUUUAUUUUCCUUUCACAAGAUUAUGUAUCCUGAUGCUUUAAUGAAUGCAUUUAUUGAGUUUUUGUUCAUUUACUCUAGAGUUAUAUAUAUGUGCAUGAUUAUAUAAUCUACAGACAGUAAUGUUUUUAUUUCUUUCCCAAAGCUGGAGAGCUUCGUUUUCCUUUUCCUUGCCUAAUUGUUCUCAUACAAAUUUUUAGUAAUAUGUUAAGAUAGAAGCUGUGGCCCUGGAGGCAGGCCUGCAGAUCUUGGCCUCAGCUGUGGUCUCUGAAGCAGCCCUGUGUCUGUACGUUUGAAGGAUCUAACAAUGAUUAUAAUUUCUGUAACUAUAACAAUGAUUACAAUUUGGCAGGUAAAGAACUCCUUUUGUUCUGUCCUCCUGCUGAUGAGAUUACCUCUGCUUUUGAUGGUUGUGUUACCGGAGAUUUGGACAGUCAUGGAUUCUUUCUGGGCCCUGGAAAGAUUAAAUUUCCUUGAGGACAUUAAUCUGUAUGGCAGGCAGUAAGGCAGGGUUUUGAAGUUUGUCUGCGUAUGAUAGGCCAAGUACCAGGUGUAUGAAUGGGUUUGGCUUCUACUGACUACCGGGGAACAGUUUUCACAGGUCUCUCUGAGUCCCUGAGUGUGUACAACUGGCCAUGGACUGUGGCUGUGAGGGCUAGAACUGAGUCACAGGACUGCUUCAGGGAACAUAGCUGAGGCCGAGAUCUGUAGGCCUGCCUCCAGGUCCAUGGCUGGGUGUGUCUCCUUGCAGGUCUCUUGAUAGGAAGGACCACUUGUGUACUGUAGCUGAGAGGAGUUUGAGACAGGUUGCAGAACUGCUUCAGCAUCCUUAGUAAGACCAAGCUUAGUGUGCCAUGUUUUAUCUGCAGCCAUGUCUAUGGGCUCUUGAGUUGGCCACCUGGGUGAGGCCCUGCUUUUUCCAAAUAUCCCUACUUGAUCUUUGGCUCCACUGAGGUUUCACAACCCUAGCCAAAGGCAAGCACCUUUCUACUUGUGUUUUCUGUGAGUUUACUACUUAAGAUAUCUUACCUAAGUGGAAUCAUACACUGUCACUUUAUUAGUAUCUUAUUUCACUUAAAAUAAUGGCUUUAAGAUUUAUCCUUAUUGUAGCAUCUGACAAGAUAUUUUCAUUUGAAGCUAAGGAAUAUUUCAUUGUAUGUAUAAGCCACAUCUUUUUAAAUCAUUCAUCUAUUGAAGGGUGUUUGAGUUUUUUCACUUUUUGGCUUUUGUAAGUGAUAUAGUUUGGAUCUGGGUCCCCAUUCAAAUCUCAUGUCAAGUUGCAGUCCCUAGUGUUGGAGGUGGGCCUGGUGGGAGGUGAUGGGAUGGUAGGGUUGGCUUCUCAUGAAUGGUUAACACCAUCCCCUUUGGUACUGUCUUUGGCAUAGUGAGUUUGUUCUCCUGAGAUCUCAUUUUUUAAAAGCAUGUGGCACCUCUCCUUUCACUGUCUCUUGCUCCUGCUCCCACUAUGUGAGGUGACUCACUCUUUGUUUGCUUUCUACCAUAAUUGGAAGCUUUUUGAGGCCUCUCUAGAAACAGAAGCUGCUAUGCUUCCUGUACAGCCUGCAGAACCACGAGCCAAUUAAACCUUUUUCUAAAAAAAAAAAUUACCUAGUCUCAGGUAUUUAUAGCAAUGCAAGAAUAAACUAAUACAGUGAAUAUUGCUGCAGUAAACAUGGAUGUGCAAAUAUUUCUGUCAGAUAUACUUUGCAUAUUUUGAAUAGGAUGCUCAGAAGUAGAAUUAGUGGGUCAUAGAAUAACUUCAUUUUUUUUUUGGAGGAACCCCUAUACAUUUUUUAGGGGCUGCAUCACUUUCUUCCCACCAGCAGUGCACAAGGGUUUCAAUUCAUCUACAUUGUUGACAUUUGUUAUUUUUUGUUUGCUUGAUAUUGGCCAUUCCAAUUAAUACACGAUAAUACCUCAUUGUGGUUUUGCUUUACAUUUUUCUAAAGAUUAAAAAUUUUUUCAAUAAUUGUUUGCUGUGUG
rnacentral:lncRNA from 1 species